rnacentral:rRNA from 1 species
AGCGAACGCUGGCGGCGUGCUUAACACAUGCAAGUCGAGUGCGUAGCCCUUUGUAGCAAUACAGAGGGUGGGCGCACGGCGCACGGGUGAGUAACACGUGGGUAACCUGCCCUUCGGUGGGGAAUAACCCGCGAAGACGGGCGUAAUUCCGCAUAACAUUCCGGGACGACAUGUUCUCGGACUCAAAGGAGUGAUUCGCCGGAGGAGGGGCCCGCGCCCGAUUAGCUUGUUGGUAGGGUAACGGCCACCAAGGCUUUGAUCGGUAGCCGGUCUGAGAGGAUGGCCGGCCACACUGGAACUGAGACACGGUCCAGACUCCUACGGGAGGGCAGCAGUGGGGAAGUCUUGCGCAAUGGGCGAAAGCCUGACGCAGCGACGCCGCGUGGGGAGUGAAGCUUCUCGGAGU